UGGGGAAUAUUGGACAAUGGUCGAAAGGCUGACGCAGCGACGCCGCGUGAAGGAUGAAGUCCGUUAGGAUGUAAACUUCUUUUGCGGGGGACGAACGAAGCGCUAUAGGCGUUUGUGACGGUACCCCGUGAAUAAGGAUCGGCUAACUACGUGCCAGCAGCCGCGGUAAUACGUAGGAUCCGAGCGUUGUCCGGAAUUAUUGGGUGUAAAGGGCGCGUAGGUGGGCGUCUAAGUCGGUGGUGAAAUCUUGCAGCUUAACUGUAAAACUGCCAUCGAAACUGGACGUCUUGAGUACGGCAGAGGGAAAUGGAAUUCAUGGUGUAGCGGUGAAAUGUGUAGAUAUCAUGAAGAACACCAGUAGCGAAGGCGGUUUCCUGGUCCGUUACUGACACUGAGGCGCGAAAGCGUGGGGAGCAAACAGGAUUAGAUACCCUGGUAGUCCACGCCUUAAACGAUGGGUACUCGGUGCUGGGCCGCAAGGUUCAGUGCCAAAGCUAACGCAUUAAGUACCCCACCUGGGGAGUACGAUCGCAAGGUUG
rnacentral:rRNA from 1 species